rnacentral:rRNA from 1 species
AGUGAACGCUGGCGGUAGGCCUAACACAUGCAAGUCGAACGGCAGCACAGUAAGAGCUUGCUCUUACGGGUGGCGAGUGGCGGACGGGUGAGGAAUACAUCGGAAUCUACUUUUUCGUGGGGGAUAACGUAGGGAAACUUACGCUAAUACCGCAUACGACCUACGGGUGAAAGCAGGGGAUCUUCGGACCUUGCGCGAUUGAAUGAGCCGAUGUCGGAUUAGCUAGUUGGCGGGGUAAAGGCCCACCAAGGCGACGAUCCGUAGCUGGUCUGAGAGGAUGAUCGGCGACAUGGGAACUGAGACAGGGUCCAGGCUACUACGGGAGGCAGCAGUGGGGAAUAUUGGGCAAUAGGCGCAAGCCUGAUCCAGCCAUACCGAGUGGGUGGAGAAGGCCUUCGGGUUGUAAAGACCUUUUGUUGGGAAAGAAAAGCAGCAGGUUAAGACGCCGCUGUUCUGACGGUACCCAAAGAAGAAGCACCGGCUAACUUCGUG